ensembl:lncRNA
AAGCUCCCCUCCCUACAUCAGGGCAAACUCUGAGGUGUGAUUAUGCCUAGAGCUUCCUGGGAUCGGGCUAAGCCUGCCUGAAAUCACACCCUGGCUUGGCUUCCUCCCCUUCCUCUCCUGCCUCCCUUCUCCCUUGCUAGUCUCUGCUGAGGCAUUUCCUUAAUGGAUCACUGGGGUGCAAAUCCCUGCCUCCGUUCUGCUCUCUGGGAAACCAUAUUCAGAAACAAAUGAAAAGCCUGAUUGCCACCGGAGACUAAAGAUUCCCAGGAGGAAAUUCAAUUUAGUCCAUGCCGCCACAUGACCCCCAUGGGCUUUGAUGGGGACAGCGGAUGCAGAGACCCCGGGUGACCCUCCAGGAGCUUUGAGUCUGAGGGAUGGAAGUGGCGGAGGUUCCCUGGGCCUUGCUUGCCCUUGUGGGCUCUGGCAGAGACCACACUGGGUUGGGGGGCAGAGAGUCUCUGACAGCAUAUUUAUUGUGAUCUGCUCUCCAAGUCCUCUGAUAAUGCCAAGCAAGAGAGAGCUGAGGGCCCCGGAACAGAGAUGAGUGGCCUCAGCUGUUGAAAGAGUUGGAAUCCCUUCUGCAUCCCUACCCCCAACCCCACCCCACCAGCCAGGGAGUCCCUGGCAACCUUGGCCUUUCUUUCUAAGCCUACCUGCCAUGUUCUUGAAAUAUUCAUUGAUUGGAUUUAAUCUCUAAUUACAUCACGCCCUCUGCCCCCAGACUCCUACUAUGUGAAGGACCUUCAGGAAGUGUUUUGUAGCAGGAAUCCCCCUGCCCACAGAGUUGUGGACAGCACUCUGGGGAAGGGUGAGCUCCUGGGCGCAGGGAUGCUGAUGGCCUCAAGAGAUGAGGUGGGCUGCAACUUGAUGAAGAGCCCCUCCUGCAGGAAGCCCUGGCAGAUGCCCCCUAGAGGCCUCAAUUCAACCUGCAAGCUUGCUUCUCAAGCUGCAGCACCCCAGACAGCUCUUCUAGCCCAUUCGUCUACCUUCCCAAUGGUAGAGACUUAGAAUGAGAGAGGGCGAGGAGUUGCUUGAGAUCACACAGCAAAUCUGUGAAGCUGACACCUUUGUGCCACCUCCGCGUUCUUCACAAGACCAGUAGAAUUCUUCCUCCUGUUUUCCACCUCGACAGUAAAAUGCCUCUCUCCCCUGCCUUGGGACCCAGUGACAUGUUCAGGAUGUGAAGUCAUGUAGGAACAGUCUUUGAAUUCAGAAACAUCUCCUGUUCAUAAAUACCCAACUAACGACUGAAACUUCCACGGCUCCCAAAAUAGCUUUGGAUCCAGCGCUGGCAUUUCCAAGAACAGAUUUUUAUCCUUUCAAGAAUUCUAUGAAAGCAGAGAAUCCUCUAGUCUGUAUGCCUGCUCAAGAGAGCUCCCUGAUCCUGGUCACACGUUGAGCCUUGACCAUGGUCACAAUCUGUGGACAUAAUCUGGUCUUAUUUCCAGAUAAAAGGUAUCUACUACGGUUCAUUAUAAUUAUGUCAACCUCAAUUCAUUUUAACACAAUGUUAGAUUACUCUGAUCAUGCAAUUCCCCAACUUCUAUUG